AGAGCUGGGCGAGCCAGAGGCGACUGGAAGGAUCUUUCUAGUCCAGCCCCUCGCUUUACCCGGACGAAAGACACGGGCCUGAUUUCUUCGAGUCUCAUUGAGCCUUAGUCGUCGGCAAGUCCCAGGCGCGAAGUUUCUCGGCCUGGAGGAGGGGGUCGCGCGAAGUGCCAGAUGCAGGCGGGGAAGCCCAUCCUCUAUUCCUAUUUCCGAAGCUCCUGCUCAUGGAGAGUUCGAAUUGCUCUGGCCUUGAAAGGCAUCGACUACGAGACGGUGCCCAUCAAUCUCAUAAAGGAUGGGGGCCAACAGUUCUCUAAGGACUUCCAGGCACUGAAUCCUAUGAAGCAGGUGCCAGCCCUGAAGAUUGAUGGAAUCACCAUUCACCAGUCAGUGAGUGCAGGGCCUGGGGGAGGGCCCUCAUGAGAGCAGUGCCCUGAAUGAGAGCACCUGACAUCUCUUCCUCGCCUGUGUACAGUCAAGGUGCCUAGCACAUAGGAGAGGCUCAAUACAAGACUCGUGGGGAGGGUGCGAGGUUAUUUAGGAAAAUAAGGGAAGAUUCAAGCACAUGGAGAACCAAGUUCUGCAUGAUAAGGUCCAAAAAGGCUUAUAGGGCUUGAGCUGAGCAGAAGCAGGGGGGAAGAGGUGUAGUGAUGGUGCUGGAAGAGGAGAAGGAGGAGUUUGCUGGCCCCGUCCCCUCUGGUCUAGGGGUCCUGGGCCCUCUCCCUGCCUCACUGCUCCCCUCUGGACAGCUGGCCAUCAUUGAGUAUCUAGAGGAGACGCGUCCCACUCCGCGACUUCUGCCUCAGGACCCAAAGAAGAGGGCCAGCGUGCGUAUGAUUUCUGACCUCAUCGCUGGUGGCAUCCAGCCCCUGCAGGUGUGGCACUUGUACACUUGCACCCUUGCACACCUGACACACUCUUACACUCACACAUUGGCUGUGAGCUGCCCAGUGUGGGGGUGGGGGUGUCAAGGGAGGGAGGGGGAUUCUCAGGGCCUCUAACCUGGACCAUGUGAAAGAAGGGGGUGAAGAUCGCAAUCUCAGAAUUCAGCCCCCCAGUGAGUCCCCCGCUGCGUUCCUAGAAGCUCUAGUUUCCAAGGACGCAUGUACAGGUGCUUGGGGUGGGGAAAGGGCCAG
rnacentral:sRNA from 1 species